rnacentral:rRNA from 1 species
GAUGAACGCUGGCGGCGUGCCUAACACAUGCAAGUUGAGCGAGGGUUUGCUCAGUAUUGAAUAUUCUAAGUCUAGAAUGUUCAAUACUGAGCAAAACCAAGCGGCGGACGGGUGAGUAACGCGUGGGUAACCUGCCCUAUACACAUGGAUAACAUACUGAAAAGUUUACUAAUACAUGAUAAUAUAUAUUUGUGGCAUCACAGAUAUAUCAAAGUGUUAGCGGUAUAGGAUGGACCCGCGUCUGAUUAGCUAGUUGGUGAGAUAACUGCCCACCAAGGCGACGAUCAGUAGCCGACCUGAGAGGGUGAUCGGCCACAUUGGAACUGAGACACGGUCCAAACUCCUACGGGAGGCAGCAGUGGGGAAUAUUGCACAAUGGGCGAAAGCCUGAUGCAGCAACGCCGCGUGAACGAUGAAGGUCUUCGGAUCGUAAAGUUCUGUUGCAGGGGAAGAUAAUGACGGUACCCUGUGAGGAAGCCCCGGCUAACUACGUGCCAGCAGCCGCGGUAAUACGUAGGGGGCUAGCGUUAUCCGGAUUUACUGGGCGUAAAGGGUGCGUAGGUGGUCCUUCAAGUCGGUGGUUAAAGGCUACGGCUCAACCGUAGUAAGCCGCCGAAACUGGAGGACUUGAGUGCAGGAGAGGAAAGUGGAAUUCCCAGUGUAGCGGUGAAAUGCGUAGAUAUUGGGAGGAACACCAGUAGCGAAGGCGGCUUUCUGGACUGCAACUGACACUGAGGCACGAAAGCGUGGGUAGCAAACAGG